rnacentral:rRNA from 1 species
CCUACGGGUGGCAGCAGUGAGGAAUAUUGGUCAAUGGCCGGAAGGCUGAACCAGCCAUGCCGCGUGAAGGUCAGUGCCCUAUGGACGUUAAACUUCUUUUGUGUGGGAGCAAUAAUGGUCACGUGUGGCCAGACGAGAGUACCGUACGAAUAAGCAUCGGCUAACUCCGUGCCAGCAGCCGCGGUAAUACGGGGGAUGCAAGCGUUAUCCGGGUUUAUUGGGGUUAAAGGGUUCGUAGGGUGUGAGGUAAGUCAGCGGUGAAAUGCCCCCGCUCAACGGGGUGAAGUGCCAUUGAUACUGCUGUGCUGGAAUGCAGAUGCGGUAGGAGGAAUGUGUGGUGUAGCGGUGAAAUGCAUAGAGAUCAUACAGAACACCGAUUGCGAAGGCAUCUUACGAAUCCGUGAUUGACGCUGAUGCACGAAAGCGUGGGGAUCAAACAGGAUUAGAUACCCCAGUAGUC